rnacentral:rRNA from 1 species
AUUGAACGCUGGCGGCAGGCCUAACACGUGCAAGUCGGACGGUAGCACAGAGGAGCUUGCUCCUCGGGUGACGAGUGGCGGACGGGUGAGUAAUGUCUGGGGAUCUGCCCGAUAGAGGGGGAUAACCACUGGAAACGGUGGCUAAUACCGCAUAACGUCGCAAGACCAAAGAGGGGGACCUUCGGGCCUCUCACUAUCGGAUGAACCCAGAUGGGAUUAGCUAGUAGGCGGGGUAACGGCCCACCUAGGCGACGAUCCCUAGCUGGUCUGAGAGGAUUACCAGCCACACUAGAACUGAGACACGGGCCAGACUCCUACGGGAGGCAGCAGUGGGGAAUAUUGCACAAUGGGCGCAAGCCUGAUGCAGCCAUGCCGCGUGUAUGAAGAAGGCCUUCGGGUUGUAAAGUACUUUCAGCGGGGAGGAAGGCGAUGUGGUUAAUAACCGCAUUGAUUGACGUUACCCGCAGAAGAAGCACCGGCUAACUCCGUGCCAGCCGCCGCAGUAA